GAACUCUAGGUUCUAAUAAAAGUCUACAUGACUUUUAUUUUCCCAGUCAAAAAAAACCCCUAUUUUACUGCAGGAUUUUCCUGUGAGGUGCUGUCAGUUAAUUACACUGCCAGUAUCUGCAGCCAAAAUACCACCAUGUGUCUCUUUGUAGGUGGUUCCUUUUUCAGCUGAGACUAAAUGAGACUUCACCCUUUGAAUACACUUGGAACGGUAAGAAACAGUUGUAGCCAACAGUGUAGCUUCCUAAAGGCACUGAAAGGAUUUAGGAAGACAUUUCUUCACAUUGAAUUUAGACCAGGUGGUGAUACCUGAAUUAGCAUCAUUAUUGAAGGGCACCAUCCUUAGGAACUAAUUUUUUGGCAGCCAGUUUCAAGCUCCAAAUGAGAAUAUUCUUAUAUUCAAUUUAUGCAGGUAAUUUUCCAUAAUUAUUAUAAGUGACAAAAUCUAGCACAUGCUUUUUCAAUUUACAUAAAGAGAAACUGAAAAUCUAAACUUCUAAUGCAGUUCAAGAUUUCUGGUAUUUCCUGGACUUCCUUUGACUUCUUACUGUUAACUUGUGCCAGAAAGUCCAGUACAAUCUGUCCUGUGCUGCUGAAGAGUAAUUAUUCAUUCAUGGUAACCCAUAAGGGGGUCAGACUUUAUUAAUUUUAAUCUGUUUUACACAGACGUUAAAGCAAAUUAAAUUUCAAGUUUAAUUAAAACACGGGUUUUAAAUAUAGAUUAACAAUAUCUAAGGAACCAAAGACGGUAGUACUGUUCUUAUUGAACUUACACCCAUGGGACUUCAACAGAUGAAGAAUCAGACCAUUUCAUUUCUUCUUUAGCUUAAUGACCCAGACUCAGCAGUGUCUUAUAUGACUAAUACGUGAAGAACUGACAUUUGUCAUCCCCAAGUAGGUUGUUUACAAAAUUUACAACUUCAUAAAACCAGAAAUUUAAUCUUUGAUUUAAGUGAUGCUACGGGUCCUUACAGUUGUUAAACUUCCACCACAAUAAAACCUGAAUAUUCUUAAAAUACUCGUUCUCCUUCAUUUUCGGAAACAACGUUUUGGACAAUCAUGGUAGGAAUAAACAAAUUGAUCAGAAAUUAGAGACAACUGUUGUCAUUAUGAAGAAAUCAGGUGAUGCUUGGGAAUAUUUUUGCUGGGGAGAAAAGAUGAUCUUUUAAAAAUGCUUCUGUGAAUUGAAAGAAUAGCUGGAUUGAGGUUUCUGCGUUACUCAUCUGGUUUGCCAAUUCAGGAUGUGUUAGUAGUGUAUUAAGUGACAGAGCUGAACAAAAGAAAUUCUACAGCUGAACUGUAAUAGCACAGGAUUGCUGCUGAAAAAUCAACUUGGAAGCCCACGAACAGAGCAUACAAGUAGUAAGAAUACACUGCUUUGACAAGAUUUCUUUUACAGUUUUGACACUACAAAGUCUUAUCCAAAGCAGAUGGUAUCCUUGAACAAGGUGGUGAAAUUUCUCUAGCAGAUAUCCUCAACAAGAAAUAAUAUUAAUUACAUACUAUUGAAUGAAAGAUUCAUAGUGCUAUUAAAAGUGUUUUAGAGAUGGAUAAGCAAAAAGUGCAGUCCUGCAAUUCAUUGCACCCCAGAAUCCCAAACAAAAAUAUGUCUAAAUGUGACCUCUUUGAGGCCAUGUAGUGCUUGAUAUUGUGUAGCAGGUAAUGAAGUGUUUUGUUAGAUACAGUGCAGGGUACUUACCUUAUUUUCAAUAUUGAGAUACAGCCAGCAGUGGAAAUUACAAAUCAUCAGCGGGAAAAAAAUUUAAAAUCCCAAGAAAAGAGACACAUCAUUUCCCAGCAAAUCAAAGAUAUAAAAGAAAAUUCAUGUGUACAAUAAGAAAACCAAAACCAGUUGUCCAAUAUGUAUCACUUCCCAUAGAUUUUGCUUUUUCCUUUAGCAUCCUACAUUUUUAGCUUUCUUCUGCAGAACACACUUCAAUUAAAGAACUUCUGAUGAUACUCUAUCUGAAGGACACUCUAGUGAAAUAUUGCUUUGAUGUAUUUUACUCCUAGGAGAAUCUCUGUUUGCAUCACAUUUUCUGAGCGCAGUUAAGCCAUUAGAUUUCCAGUUAUAUUUCAAUGUAUCUCAGGGAUUCAAAGAAGUGAUGUAAGCACAUAGGUCAGUCAGAGUGGUUGAGACUGGCCACUGAUGACAGGACAUGUCCUAAUGUCAGUAUUUCCUAAGGAAAUGCAGGUUGUGUAAAGUGAGAAAGCACAUGGCCCUUUUUGCACUCAUGCCUGACACUGAACAUUUAAAAUAUGUUCUAGCAGCAGCCUCAUACUCCAAGUAUUUAUCCUGGGGGAAUAGGUAGAUAUAUCCAUUAAACUCAUGUUUACCAAUAAAAACUCUGAACUACUCAUCUAAGUAAAUGUUUCUUGUAAACAGUGAAUGGGAUUUUUUUCAGCAUGAAUGAAAUCACUUGAACUGUAUACUGCCUUGAAUGUGGAAAGAGAACUGGAGGCAUUUAAAACAAGAACAAAAAUAUGUAGAACAUUUGAAAGAUCUUUUGCCAAUUCACAAAGCACCUUUAAAGCAAAUAAACAAGAGAAACCUCAGUUUAGGGGCAAAAAACCCCCUGAAGAACAAAACAUGUACCAACACUCUUGCCCUGCUAUACAAAGCAAAGAAUAUCACUGGUGCAUUGUCCAAAUACUUCACAUUUGAAGUGAGGAUGCUUUGUAGUUCCAGGAAGGCUGUUUUUGCAAUGCUGAUUUUGAAGGAUAUGCUAAGUUGUUCCAAUGGUAACUGGCAGAGCUCAGAGAAAUUCCAUCCAGAGCAACUGACUGAAAACUGAUAUUUCCAUAAUUUACAGCUUUGUUCCAUUCUAGCCCAUGGCACAAGAGAACAAGAGAAAAGCCAGCAAGAGAGAUUCAGCUGUCCCAGCUUUGUGCUCUAGCAUAAAGCAGGCUCUGACAGAGGAAGCUACUCGCCUCUUCUGAAAGAUGAGAACAGCUAUUUACUUUACAUUGUGCAAGCAGAGCUCCUUGAAGAGAAAUAAAAUCUUUCUAACUUGGAACAUACUGCUUGGAGCAGACUUGGAUUCCUGUUACACAACGUUUGAUUAUUCCCAUCUUAGAAAUAUCUGGGGCAAAGAAUAUGUGUCUUCCAGGGCAUCAGCUCCAGGUAUGUUUCUUUGAUACCUCCAAACAUUCUCUGUGUCUCACUGAUCACCAUGUCCCAGAAUUUUCACCACUUGUACCGACAGACGUGAUGGAUGGUCAGCAAGCACAAGCACUGAAGAGCCUGGUCUUUCAUCAGCGUCUGCAAGAGCAGAAGAGCCCUGAGACUCUGGAUGAGUACAGUGCAUUGCCUUUUGCUUCCUUUUACUGCUGUUUUAUGAAACAGAAGGAAGAGACAAUGUGAGCUUUUGUACAAAAGUGAGGUGACCUUUCCAAGUUACAUGUGGGAUCUGCUGCUGUUUCUAUAGAGACCAAACGCAUUAACCUGAGUCAAGUGGGAAUGCCUGAGGCUCAUUGAAAGGGAUAUCGUUUCUUAGAGAAAGCUGGAAGAUUUAAGUAAAAGGCUUGAUUCAUGUGUUUUACUUUUUAAACAAAGGGAAGCUGCAUUUAAACUUCCUCAAUUGGAUGUCUGAGCAAAGACAAACAUUUUGUGUCUGAUUUCAGCUUCCAGUUUCCAAUUUGCAACAGUCCUACCAAAAAGCUGUCCUACUUUAGAGCCCCAAAUGCUUCUUUGGCUGAAUAAGACUGUACAAGAACUAGGUUUAGACUGGUGAAAUAUGCUUCUUGUUCAGUCACAGACACUGCAAAAAUACUCUGAGACGCUGCUUAGUUUGUCCAUCCUACAUCUACAAACUCAUAAACUGAAAUAAAAUCUCCCCUCAAGGCAGAUCCUAACU